GACGAACGCUGGCGGCGUGCUUAACACAUGCAAGUCGAACGGAAAGGUCCUGCUUUUGUGGGGUGCUCGAGUGGCGAACGGGUGAGUAACACGUGAGUAACCUGCCCUUGACUUUGGGAUAACUUCAGGAAACUGGGGCUAAUACCGGAUAGGAGCUCCUGCUGCAUGGUGGGGGUUGGAAAGUUUCGGCGGUUGGGGAUGGACUCGCGGCUUAUCAGCUUGUUGGUGGGGUAGUGGCUUACCAAGGCUUUGACGGGUAGCUGGCCUGAGAGGGUGACCGGCAACAGUGGAAGGGAGGCAGGGUCCAGAGUACUAAGGGAGGCAGCAGGGGGGAAUAUGGGACAAGGGGCGGAAGUCUGAUCCAGUGAUACCGCGUGGGAGAAGGAGGCCUCCGGGGGGGAAAGCAGUGUUGUGGGGAAAGAAAAGGAGCAGGCUAAGACCACGAGGGUCGGAGGGGACCCAAAGAAUAAGCAACGGCUAACUUCGUG
rnacentral:rRNA from 1 species